CUUGAGGUCUGACCUGAUGGGAGCUUCUCCUGUGACUGCACACUGUUGGAAACACCUCAUAGAGUAACACUGGUUUUGUUGUGCUCGCCAAGUCUAUUUCUUAGACCUCUGACAAGACAGCAUGAGGACC
ensembl:snoRNA